rnacentral:tRNA from 1 species
AAGGUUUUAAGUUAUUUAAACUAUAAGCCUUCAAAGCUUAAAAUAAAGAUCGACUUUAAAUCU